AGCUGGAGCUGAUCUUGGAUUUGCUGAAUUGAUGUCUAGAAUAAUGAAAUCUUUUGUGGUAAACAUGGUACAAAUGGAAGUGAUGAAUGCUUUCACACUCACUUUCCCCUCAUCUUCUAGAAUCACUAAGAGAAAGGAAAGAGACAAGAGAAGAAGUAAUUAAGAAGGGUGGAAUAGAGAAGUACAAGUUAGUGUAUUGCAAUGAACCAGCCUCCAUCAUUUUCACCAACAAUGAUAUAAGAGCUGAAAAUGGCGAGCCUUUGAAAGUUGUCAUUUUAGAUGGCACAACCAAUGCCAUUAUCUGCACUGGCCUUCUCUCAUCAGCCCAGCUUGAGUUCUUCCUUCUCGACGGCGAUUACGGCGGCUCUACCGGCCAACAACAACAUCAUCCUUUGUCUCCAAGAGAUGGCAAAAGGCCUUUAUUGGUUGGAAAUGAUCUCAAGCUCAAUUUGCAAAACGUUCUCUCUUUGUCCAUCACUAGAUUAGAGAUGACAAAAUUCUUCCCAUGUUUGAUGAUCCAACAAUUCCUCUAGCUGUCUCCCAAUCUUUUAGAGUCAUGGAUCAUCGCGGAGAAGAGUGAACAAGAAGCAUCAUCCUCAAAGCAGAGAAGAUGAAUUAUGGCGCUUGGAAGGGAUUGGAAAAGAUGGUGCAUAUCACAAAAACUUACCUUCCCAUAACAUCAAAACUGUGGGUGACUUCUUGAAGGCAUCUUUGAAAAAGUUGCUUGGUAUCAAAGUCCCAAAGAAAGCAUGGCUGAUGAUGGUUGCUAAUGCUAAGGAGUGUGUCAAUCCUCCCGAUUAUGAACAAACCUCAAAGGCUAACUACACACUCUCUCUUUCAACUUUAUUUCUUUAUCUGCUGAAAGUGAGAGCUUUCAAUUAAGCAGGUUUUGUUAUAUGGAAACAGGUAAAUGAGUGGGCAUAUAAAGUUAUGGGAGAUGAAUCACCUUUCAAUCAAGGCCAUGAAGAUUAUGAGCAAAAGAAUAAUUUAGGUUAUGGUAGCUCUCAAAUUCCAAAGAUGGGCUUUAUUGAAGAUUUUGGAUAUGGGUAACUUGGUCAUAGAGGUUUCUCGCCAUGGGUUAGUGUGGAAGCACUCACAUCAACCAUUAUCAACGACUUUGGACAAAGUUAGCAUCCUCAAAAUGUAUCCAGAAGGUUGGAUGAUCUGCAAGUAAAUCUCUUUAACUCGUUAAUGGCUUCUAAAUGUAGACGAGUUGAUGGUAAGCUCCUCCACUAUGUCGCUAGUCUAAAGCAUGUUGUCGGUUCACUCGUUGGUGCGUGAGCUUCCUUCGAGGCAUUCGAUGGACAGAGCCAUGAGCCUGGUGCUCGGGGAUUCCGGAGGUUGCCUGA